rnacentral:rRNA from 1 species
AGCUUGCUCCCGGAUGUUAGCGGCGGACGGGUGAGUAACACGUGGGUAACCUGCCUGUAAGACUGGGAUAACUCCGGGAAACCGGAGCUAAUACCGGAUAGUUCCUUGAACCGCAUGGUUCAAGGAUGAAAGACGGUUUCGGCUGUCACUUACAGAUGGACCCGCGGCGCAUUAGCUAGUUGGUGGGGUAAUGGCUCACCAAGGCGACGAUGCGUAGCCGACCUGAGAGGGUGAUCGGCCACACUGGGACUGAGACACGGCCCAGACUCCUACGGGAGGCAGCAGUAGGGAAUCUUCCGCAAUGGACGAAAGUCUGACGGAGCAACGCCGCGUGAGUGAUGAAGGUUUUCGGAUCGUAAAGCUCUGUUGUUAGGGAAGAACAAGUGCGAGAGUAACUGCUCGCACCUUGACGGUACCUAACCAGAAAGCCACGGCUAACUACGUGCCAGCAGCCGCGGUAAUACGUAGGUGGCAAGCGUUGUCCGGAAUUAUUGGGCGUAAAGGGCUCGCAGGCGGUUUCUUAAGUCUGAUGUGAAAGCCCCCGGCUCAACCGGGGAGGGUCAUUGGAAACUGGGAAACUUGAGUGCAGAAGAGGAGAGUGGAAUUCCACGUGUAGCGGUGAAAUGCGUAGAGAUGUGGAGGAACACCAGUGGCGAAGGCGACUCUCUGGUCUGUAACUGACGCUGAGGAGCGAAAGCGUGGGGAGCGAACAGGAUUAGAUACCCUGGUAGUCCACGCCGUAAACGAUGAGUGCUAAGUGUUAGGGGGUUUCCGCCCCUUAGUGCUGCAGCUAACGCAUUAAGCACUCCGCCU